rnacentral:rRNA from 1 species
GAUGAACGCUGGCGGCGUGCUUAACACAUGCAAGUCGAACGAUGAACCAGGUGCUUGCACUUGGGGAUUAGUGGCGAACGGGUGAGUAACACGUGAGCAACCUGCCCCUCACUCUGGGAUAAGCGCUGGAAACGGCGUCUAAUACUGGAUACGAGUCGCAACCGCAUGGUUAGUGACUGGAAAGAUUUUUUGGUGGGGGAUGGGCUCGCGGCCUAUCAGCUUGUUGGUGAGGUAAUGGCUCACCAAGGCGUCGACGGGUAGCCGGCCUGAGAGGGUGACCGGCCACACUGGGACUGAGACACGGCCCAGACUCCUACGGGAGGCAGCAGUGGGGAAUAUUGCACAAUGGGCGGAAGCCUGAUGCAGCAACGCCGCGUGAGGGAUGACGGCCUUCGGGUUGUAAACCUCUUUUAGCAGGGAAGAAGCGAAAGUGAC